GACGAACGCUGGCGGCGUGCUUAACACAUGCAAGUCGAACGGAAAGGCCCUGCUUUUGUGGGGUGCUCGAGUGGCGAACGGGUGGGUAACACGUGAGUAACCUGCCCUUGACUUUGGGAUAACUUCAGGAAACUGGGGCUAAUACCUGAUAGGAGCUCCUGCUGCAUGGUGGGGAUUGGAAAGUUUCGGCGGUUGGGGAUGGACUCGCGGCUUAUCAGCUUGUUGGUGGGGUAGUGGCUUACCAAGGCUUUGACGGGUAGCCGGCCUGAGAGGGUGACCGGCCACAUUGGGACUGAGAUACGGCCCAGACUCCUACGGGAGGCAGCAGUGGGGAAUAUUGCACAAUGGGCGGAAGCCUGAUGCAGAAACGCCGCGUGCGGGAUGACGGCCUUCGGGUUGUAAACCGCUUUCGCCUGUGACGAAGCGUGAGUGACGGUAAUGGGUAAAGAAGCACCGGCUAACUACGUG
rnacentral:rRNA from 1 species